GGGCCAGAUACCCAGAUAUCAAAGUUGUUGUCAAAGAGGUUCAUUGAAGAGCGGCACAGUCCCAGUGGCAUAUACCUAGAGAUCGAAGUUGGCAUCAUAGAGGUUCAUUGAAGAGUGGCACUUAUUUAGGGCCAGAUACCCAGAUAUCAAAGUUGUUGUCAAAGAGGUUCAUUGAAGAGCGGCACAGUCCCAGUGGCAUAUACCAAGAGAUCGAAGUUGGCAUCAUAGAGGUUCAUUGAAUAGUGGCACACUCCCAGUGGCAUAUACCUAGAGAUCGAAGUUGGCGUCACAGAGGUUCAUUGAAGAGUGGCACAUAUUUAGGGCCAGAUACCCAGAUAUCAAAGUUGUUGUCAAAGAGGUUCAUUGAAGA